rnacentral:lncRNA from 1 species
UUGAAAGACGAGCACCCCGCUUUCCCUCCUUCAAACGUUAGGGUUCCGCUGAUCUCCGAAAUCGGAAUUACUCUAUACCACAUACAUUGUUCUAAUUUAUUCAAGCUCUUAGCUGCAAUCGAGUUACUCCUACGGGUAAAUGCAACUCCUCUCUUCGCUGGUUACUUCUCCGAACACCUUUACAUCUGCAGAUUUUAGUUAUGCUUAAAAAAUCAAAUUCCUUACGUUUCUUAAGGAAAUGUGUUUUCAACUCUUGAGAUAAGUAGUUCUUUUUAUUUUGGGAAGUUUUAGGAAUGGUAGGUUCAUUUUGAUUUGGGCAAUGUAGUAAUAUUUUGAUCUGGUUACUGCCCUAAACCUGUUGACUUGAAUCUAGGUUAUUAAACUCCAAAAUUUAAAUAUGCAGGCUUUAGUAAUCACAUUCUUUGCAUCUCUGUUAUUUUUAUUUAUGGAAACUGUUAAUUCUGGUGGGGAGUAGUUUUCUCUGGAACUGUGAUAAAUUGUCCAUUCAUUAUGUUUUGGGAUUUUGUAAGUUUUCUAUUCAACAAGUUUACCUUGUAGUCCACCAUGGAUUCAGGCCAAUUUGAAAGUUGCCAGGUUUAUAUGUCGGACACUGCUGAAUGAAUCUUACAGACUAUUGGUCUGGUUUCAAGGUUGCUUUAUGUCUGCCUAUUCCAUUACCGUGACAAUUAUCUUCUAUUUAAUGUCCUAAAGAAAGUUAUGUUAUACUGUAAUGCGUACUUAAAUGCAUUUAAUCUUGCAUAUCUGUGCCCUUUGUUUCAGGCUGUGCCAUUCAUCUCGCAAAAGCAUGGAACAAACAGAACAAGAGAGUAAUGCACAAAAGACAUGGGAAGUUUGCUCGAAUGGGGCUGAAAAGUCAAGUGUCUCCUCUAUUGUCUUUUCUCUCGAAAAGGGAAUUUUUCAAAAACAUCAACCUGAAGCAAAUUUUUCAUCUCCAACACCAGUGAAAACAAAGGAGCCAUCACGGAUUAAGUGCGAAGAAGGAGCACCUGAACUUCCAGAAAAGUGGGACACUCAGGAUAUGCAUUGCCUGAAAUUGAAACUGAUGUUCACUAUGAAAAACCUAAAACUGAUAUGAUAUAUUUUUCUCUCUAUUUCCAGAUAUACAGCGUUAUCUGAGUUUUUUGAUCGUCUGAUUUGUUCACUGAGGUUGCUCAGCCUACGGAAAAAAUCACCAACUUUACAUAAUAUCAGCAAUCAGGUUGAAAUUUUGGCAGGAAGGUAGUAACUGCUGCUAUAUACGCACACAAAUAUAUAGUUUUUCUAUACAAUUUUUCCUAAAGAUAUUGUGUGUAUCAUCAUAAACAUUGCUAGUAUCUUAUCAAUGUCCACAAUAUGUUGACAUUCAUGCUAAUGGUUGAUUUAAACUUUACUUUUGGAUUAUCUCCAGAUUCUCCACCAACUUUUUCCUAAAAUGCUGGCUGUGAAUACUUAUGUGGUGGGCCUCUGACCUUGCAUCGUGACCCAGAAAUAUGCAAAGCCACUUUAGAUUACAAUUUGGAGCUAUUCUAAUAGAGAAAGAAUGUGACCGUUAUCACAUUACUUGUUAAACCAAUUGAUAUAUUAAUAAAAUAAAAAAUUUAUACUCCCAUUUUCUAACAUCAUAUUCAAGGAACUAAAAAACACUGGAUUCAAUAUUUAUUUUUAUUUUUUAACUUUUGGUUGUAAUCAUUUUAAUCGAAGUUAGAUGAGUAAAGCAUGCAUAUAAGUAUUAAUUGCUAGUUGACAUUUGAACUGCAAUUGUCAGUAUUUGAAUUUUUUAUUGUAUUCUAUUAACGUCCCUAAUCUAUAGUUACACAAAAAAGCUUCUAAGGAUUGAACUCAAAUUCCAGAUCAGUUGAGAGUGCUUAGGUGUUAAUAUUGUUGAAUUUCUGACAGUGAUAGAAACUGGAAUUGCUGUUAUAGAGGACAUUGCAGAAAACUGUUGGAAUUUCUUAUAUUUCUUUAUUUAUGGUACUUGAAAACCUUCUUUUGACUACUGUUCCUUUUCUGUUUUCCCACCCUUCUGUCAGGAAGUUUCUAUCAAGGCAUCUUGCACAAAUAAAAUAUGUACUUCCUGAAGCAGUUCAGAUUGAUAAGAUACUUGUGCAUGAUGAGAAAACCAAGUGCAUGAAGCCAGAAUUAAAGAUUGCAUUGCUAUUUGAUGUUAUUGAAGGCCUUCAUGGAGAAUCUGUGUUCAUGGACCUCAGCAAUCUUUUCUCUUCCCGUCUAAAAAGGUUUUACAUUACACAUCCAGAGGUAAUGGUCCUUUACAUGUUUAUGUUGUAAUUAUAAAGAACAAAGUAAUUCAGGACUGUUCAACAAGAAAAUAAAAAUGAUUUCUCAGUACACUUAUUUCUGCUAUUGGGGAAAUCUCACCUGGAAUCAUAACCAAACUUAUACUUUUCAAACGUGGAGCUAGAACUAAGUUUGUUAAUUUGAGUUGGUUCAUUUUUAUCAUCACCAUAAAAUUGUUUUAUAUUGCUGAGUUUCAAUAGAUUACAAUUAAAACCAAACUCCAUCCGUUAGUAAUUUCUUGCACAGUUGCGCUAAUGUUGCACUAUUGAGAAUGAGAUUCAAAUAAUCUCAUUCUGAGGAUUUCAACAUUGGGUCCUCUCGGAGCUUGUCAUCCCCUGCAGAGUACUGGUCCAGCAUGCAGUUCUAUUCAGAGAUCAUGACGAGGGAGAAGUUUUUGGAUUUUUUUGAAUAUAUUUACCUACUGAAUACUUUUGUCUCCUGGAUGCAGGAUUUGGACAUUCCCGAAGCUGACCUUCCAGCACCAUUUAACCAGAGAAGUAUCAACAUGAAGGUGGAGCCGACGUCCAAGGACGUGUCAGCUUUACUGCAGAUGGAUGUAUUAAAUUCAUCCCAUCUCUCUCCAUCUUUCUGUAGACGCUUUUCUCAGAAGGCUUUUGCUGCAGAGAAAGAAAAGACUCACCUACUUUCACCCAUUAAAUCUUCUUGUGUGGCUAAUCAAGAAACUGGAGGAACAAGAACGUUUCCCAACACUUCUUCCGAAUCCACAGCCACUAUCCUAGUGACUCAGACUUCACAUUGUGUUAGCUCUGCCACAUCUGGUAAUACUCCUACAAAGCUGGCUUCUGCAGAAAGUGACAAUCUAGUUGUUGAAACACCUGCACAAUCUACUCCAAUGAGAUUAAUUUCACCAAAUAGAUCAGUGCUUACCUGUGAAGAUGAGUGCAAGAAUGGAACAAGCCAAAACUCCACACCUGGCAAUCUGACUGCAAAGAGGUCAUUAGAUUUUUAUACUUUGGAUGGUGAUAAUACUUCUCAGGACUUCACUACUGAUGAGAAUAAGAUGGAGUAUUCUAAAGGUGUUUGCAGUACUCUUCCUCGAAUGAAAAUGAAAGGGAUUUCUGUAAAGGUUGAUACUGUUCUUUCCAAGGUAAAAAUUAGCAGUUACUUGUGUUUAGUUUUUAACAUUGCAGUAGCCGGUUAAAUAAUUUGCAAUUUAGAGUCUCCGUGGACCUUUAUUAGGGCUUAUUUGUUUCUUGCUGUCUGAAGAUGAUAUGCUCAUUUGUUCUGUCUUGGACAUGUUCUUAUAAUUUAAGAUGCUAACGAUCUUGCAAAAUUUAUAGAAUAGAUUUAACCUCCGUUUGGAUACAAUUUAUUAUUGGUUUAUAAAUUCAGCCAAAGUCAAACAUACACUUCAACCACACAUUAUUAUCCUCACAUUUUGU